rnacentral:rRNA from 1 species
UACAGAGGUCUCAAGCGUUGUUCGGAUUCAUUGGGCGUAAAGGGUGCGUAGGCGGCGCGGUAAGUCGGGUGUGAAAUCUCGGAGCUUAACUCCGAAACUGCAUUCGAUACUGCCGUGCUUGAGGACUGGAGAGGAGACUGGAAUUUACGGUGUAGCGGUGAAAUGCGUAGAUAUUGGGAGGAACACCAGUGGCGAAGGCGGCUCACUGGACUGGUACUGACGCUGAUGCGCGAAAGCGUGGGGAGCAAACAGG